UACGUAGGGUGCAAGCGUUGUCCGGAAUUAUUGGGCGUAAAGAGCUCGUAGGCGGUCUGUCGCGUCGGCUGUGAAAACCCGGGGCUCAACCCCGGGCCUGCAGUCGAUACGGGCAGACUAGAGUGCGGUAGGGGAGACUGGAAUUCCUGGUGUAGCGGUGAAAUGCGCAGAUAUCAGGAGGAACACCGGUGGCGAAGGCGGGUCUCUGGGCCGUAACUGACGCUGAGGAGCGAAAGCGUGGGGAGCGAUCAGG
rnacentral:rRNA from 1 species